GGCAAAGAAGCGGCAAACGUCGAUUCGCGAUCAUGGUCCCAAUAUGGUCCUAAACGCACUCUCUUCCAACCAUAACUCCUUACACAUCAAUAAUAUAGACCGAUUCGCAAAAAGGUCUGCAAAACCUUUAUUCGUGGGUUCGAUUCCCACCCGCGCCUCCA
rnacentral:tRNA from 1 species